rnacentral:lncRNA from 1 species
UACAAGAUCUGCCGUUCAGCCUUCGGAGGUUUUCAUAGUGUAAGAUUGUGUGCAUAUAUUCAUAGAAUGGCUGAGUAUACGUGCGGGGGAGACCAUGUUUCGCGAAAAGAAACUAUAACACAAAGGAAAUUAAGGGGAGAUACGGAUGAGUGGGAUAAAAAGGAGAGGUGCCCGGAUGAAUGGUAAAAACACAAAAUUUGACUGUUUACCAUCAAGCCUUGUCACCUACACACUGGAUCGAGUGAGAUACGCUGUUGCAGGGGCUCUGAAUCGAAG